UGUCUGCGCACAGAAGCUUCUUGGCGUGCUGCCGGGCUCUCCCACCCAGGCCAUGGCGCGCAGAGCCAAACCAGAACUUCCCCAAGUCUCCAAAAUUCAGUAAGUCCACUCCUCUCCUCUGAAGCCAGGCGAGAAUAAGUCCUCUGCUUGCUGCACCAGGCGAUCCGUGUCCCUACAGUCUCAUGGGCCAAUCCAACAGCUGCCACGUGGAGGGAGACCCAGGGCUGGCAAUGUGGCGUCCCCACGCGCCCCUCACUCACUCCCAAGGCGACCCGAUUUAAGUCGCGCGCCUAGGAGCCCGCCAGCUCCCCCCAGCCAGGGAAGGGGGCUCAGGCUUAGGCAGGAAGUCCGGUGGUGGCUGACUUUAUAAGGGCAGUGGCAGCGGAUGGGUUGGCGGGCGGGCGAGUGUGUUUACCAGAGGUGGGAGAAAGGAAUCGGAACUCGCCCCGGCCGGGGCCGCUACAGCCAUCGCGGGAGGAGACCUGGGGCCGGCAGCGCGGGGGCGGGAGCGACAAGACGAAUGGGGUAAGACCGAGGAAGGCGGAGAGGGAGUCUAUCGGAACCGGCCCGGGUGGCUCUCAGCGGACUUGCAGCUGAAGACACUGAUUCUCACACGCGGCUCACCUCGGGUCGCGGGCAAACGCGCCUUCUGCAGCUGCGAACGCCCCCUGGAGCUCAGACCCUUGGCAGCACGUCCACACUCCGGGUGUCCCGGGACCGGCGGGCCCAGCCCUGAUCUGCGCGCACGCUGAGGUCUUCUCUGCUCUUUGGACCCGGGGGCCUUGAAAUUGCAGCCCGACAGCCCAGUGGUCUCGACUCCUCCGCUCUCUUGGGAGAAGUCACGGAGCUUGGAACCUGCCGGGCGCCACGGAUCCACGAAGCAGGAAGACUUAGUGAUGCUUGUAAAGCUCUUUGACAGGAUGAGCAAUUACACAGAAAGUUCCAAGAAAAGCCUCAGACAAGACAGGACCCCUGAGCAGCUGAGCCACCAAGCCAAGAGAAGAGCAUUGCCAAGUGGUGACCAUAUGCUGGAGACUUUCAACAGAAAAAGAAGAAGAAGAAGAAUACACAUUCAGACAUCAUAACUUCACUCAGGGAGAAUACUGGAGGCUGCCAGGUGGUAGUUGGAGGCAGGACGCAUGGUCAGAUCUGUCAGGCUCUAAGCACUGCUCUUUCCAAUCCUCUAGGCGGGGAAAUGACAGAAGCAAAAGCUUAGCAGUAGAAAAGGCACGGGAUGUUCUCUCUGGCAAAAGCCCUAGUCAGGCUUUGGUGAUUCCACUUCUUAAAAUGCACCACGGGAGCAUGCAGUGUAGGUCAGUGGUAAAGCAUUUGUCUAGCAUGUGUGAGGCCCUGGGUUUAGUCCCCAGUGCCACCAAAAAAUAAAAAUAAAUAAAUAAAUAAAACUGGCUACCAGAACUUCAGGUCAAGGUUAAAUUUCAUAGCUCGGCACAAGAUGACCUAGAAUAAAUGUUCUAACCCAAGAGGGUCAUGGAUGCCCUGGAGAAAACAAUAAAAUAUUGUUAAUCCACUCUAUGAAAAUACUGGUACAUUCAAAAUCUCCGGGUUUUGUGGACACCUCCCCCCAUGAGAUUCUGGUGACCCAGACACCCCCCAUGACGGGGAGGCUUGCCCUUGAUUAUCCCAGCCUGCAUUCCACAGUUUUACCCCUAGAAGUACCAGCUCCCUGUGGGCAAGGAGGGCCCUGUCUGUUGAGUUCACUGCCUGGGUAUCCACAGCUCCUGGUACCUAAUAAGCUCUCAGUGAGCACAUAUGCAACCAAAGGUCCAUCCAGCUGGUUUGACACCUCCUUACCUUUGCACCUGCUACUCCUUCUUGAUGGAAUGACAGAUUCCUCUUUUCAUUUCUAAUAUAUUCAUCCUUCACAAUUCAGCUCAAGUUUCAUAUCUGUCUGGAAGCUGUGUGACCUCCUACGCUGCAUUAGGGGCCUUGCCCAAAUGAUCCCCCCAAACACUGUGCUGACCUCCAUUGAAGACCACACAGACAUCUACAAGGAAGUUCUGUUCCUUCCUCCCUUUCCCCAUCCCAUGAGGUAUCAAUUUCUCGGAGGCAGGAAUGACCACAUUAUAGGUAAUUUGUAUGCCUGCUGCCUAUCACAGGACCUGGCAUGUAAAACACCCAGGGUAAACAUUUGUUGAAUACAUGAAAAGGGAGUAGUGGGAAAUUAAGCUAUAAAGGUAGGCUAGGGCCACCUUGGAAUGACUUCUGUGAAGCCAAGGAUUUCCAGUGCUGUGAAGAAGGUGAUGGGAACUCCUGGAUUUGGCAGAUUUUUGGUGUGUUUUGUUUUGUUCUUCCUAAUAAAGGGAUAGAUGUGGUCAAGUUCAUGGGUUUAAUGAUGGAGGACAUAUUGGAAAGGAGAAUCAAAGCACUUAGGAGGCCACUGUAAUAGUUCAGAUUUUUAAAAACAGGAAAGCAAAGGGAGAGAACCAAGAUAUACUUCUGUACCCAAAUUAAUAGGAUUUAUCAACCUCUUUCUUCCUCUAGCUCCAAAAAUAAAACCUCCUUCCUAGACUGUUUUCCUGAUACUGGCCAUAGCUUAAGAAAAGCAGUGUUAUCCCAUUGGAUCUCAUGUGGGCUCCUGGCUAGACUACUUCACAGCUUACUGGACAAGAGCGCUGGAUCAAGAGUCAGGUGGGAUCUAAAUCUUGGCUCUGCAACUGAUAAAUUGUGGAUGUUGCCCAAGUCACUUAUCUCCUGAGCUUCAUUCUGCUUUUUUAAGUGCUGAAAAUAAUAGUACCUGAUUGAAUUCAUUCUGUGAGAAGCUAUUAGCCUUAAAAAUACGUACCAUAGGGCUGGGGAUGUGGCUCAAGCGGUAGCGUGCUCGCCUGGCAUGCGUGCGGCCUGGGUUUGAUCCUCAGCACCACAUAUAAACAAAGAU